CUACGGGAGGCACCAGUGAGGAAUAUUGCACAAUGGGGGGAACCCUGAUGCAGCAACGCCGCGUGGAGGAUGACGCAUUUCGGUGUGUAAACUCCUUUUAUAUGUCAAGAAAAUGACGGUAGCAUAUGAAUAAGCACCGGCGAACUCCGUGCCAGCAGCCGCGGUAAUACGGAGGGUGCAAGCGUUACUCGGAAUCACUGGGCGUAAAGGAGCGUAGGCGGGUUGGAAAGUCAGGUGUGAAAUCCUACAGCUUAACUGUAGAACUGCACUUGAAACUUCUAAUCUAGAGUAUGGGAGGGGGAGAUGGAAUUAGUGGUGUAGGGGUAAAAUCCGUAGAUAUCACUAGGAAUACCUAAAGCGAAGGCGAUCUCCUGGAACAUUACUGACGCUAAGGCGUGAAAGCGUGGGGAGCAAACAGGAUUAGAUACCCUCGUAGUC
rnacentral:rRNA from 1 species